AUGUACUUUAACAAGUAUCAGCUGUUUGUUUGGGGUGUAAUGAACAAACUAGAGCCAGAGUGGCAACUGCUUCAAGUAAUUAUGAAGACAGCUUGCAAACUAUGGCCCCACUUGUUUCAGAUUCUGAAUGACGACAAUCAAGCUGCUGUUGCUGCCAGCUUUAUUUCUGAGCACUUUUAUUUCCAUAUUUCAAAGGAUGGAAAAUGUAAGGAAGAGGUGAUCAUCGGUUGCCCCAAGACCACUCGGAUGGAAAGAUUGCAUCUGCAUACUUGCUCCAGUUUCCAGUGGGCUUUCCCUGCUCAGUUUCAGAGGAAUUUUAGAAAACUCCCAGGAAUGAAAACAAAACCCAACCCGGGGAAAGCACAGCUGAAGCACUAUGGGGGAAACUCCAGACAACAGACAUCAACGUGUGAGAUGGCAGAGCACAGAAUCUGGGAACUGGAAAUGAAUGUCUGCUGUCAGAGCAGGAAUGGUCCAAAGCCCUGUGAACUCAGCAGACCAUUUUCCUUUGCUGUGCAAAUCUUCUGUUAA
rnacentral:lncRNA from 1 species